GUGGCUGUAGCUUAGCCCGGUUUAAAGCGUCUGAUUGUGGUUCAGAAGAUCGGGGGUUCAAAUCCCCUCAGCCACCCCA
rnacentral:tRNA from 1 species